rnacentral:rRNA from 1 species
CAGCAGCCGCGGUAAUACGGAGGGUGCUAGCGUUGUUCGGAAUUAUUGGGCGUAAAGCGUACGUAGGCUGUUUCGUAAGUCAGUUGUGAAAGCCCAGGGCUCAACCUUGGAACUGCAAUUGAAACUGCGAGACUAGAGUGUAAUUGGAGAUGGCAGAAUUCUUAGUGAGGGGGUGAAAUCCGUAGAUAUUAGAAGGAAUACCAGCAGUGAAGACGGCUAUCUUGGUUAUAACUGACGCUAAGGUACGAAGGUAUGGGUAGCGAACGGGAUUAGAUACCCCGGUAGUCCAUCCAGUAAACGAUGAAUAUUAAGUGUUCGGAUUUUAGAUCUGAGUGCUAAAGCUAACGCGUUAAGUAUUCCGCCUGGGGAUUACGGUCGCAAGACUAAAACUCAAAGGAAUUGACGGGGACCCGCACAAGCGGUGGAACAUGUGGUUUAAUUCGAUGCUACGCGAAAAACCUUACCAGCUUUUGACAUCCCGAUUCCGGAGAAUAGAGAUAUUUUCCUUCAGUUCGGCUGGAUCGGAGACAGGUGUUGCAUGGCUGUUGUCGGCUCGUGCCGUGAGGUGUUAGGUUAAGUCCUUUAACGAGCGCAACCCUCAUUCUUAUAUGCCAUCGGGUAAUGCCGGGAACUAUAAGAAAACUGCCAGUGAUAAAUUGGAGGAAGGUGGGGACGACUUCAAGUCAUCAUGGCCCUUAUAAGCUGGGCUACACACAUGUUACAAUGGGAGUUACAAAAGGAAGUGAAAGAGUGAUCUGGAACCAAUCCUUAAAAGCUCUCUCAGUUCAGAUUGCAGGCUGCAACUCGCCUGCAUGAAGUUGGAAUCGCUAGUAAUCGUGGAUCAGCACGCCACGGUGAAUACGUUCUCGGGUCUUGUACACACUGCCCGUCAAGCCAUGGAAGUUCUUUUUGCCCGAAUUGGGUGAGCUAACUCGCAAGAGAGGUAGCCUAACACGGUGGGGGGGAUGACUGGGGUUAAGUCGUAACAAGGUAACCGUA